AGGAUCAUUAUCGAAUUUACAAGGGAGAAGGAAAGGGGAAGAUGAAGGGGGAGGAAGACUGUCGCUGGGGGUUUCCCUGUGCACGUCAGAUUUCUUCUUUGUUUGACCUGUUCCUCUCUUUCCUUCACACACACCUUGUGCACCUGUUGUAGGUCUUUGAUAAGAGGACCUAUGUUUUCUCACAUCACACCUUAUCGUAUGUCCAUAGAAUGUAUGGGAAAAUGAUAUACAACUUUCAGCAACGGAUCUCUUGGCUCUCGCAUCGAUGAAGAACGCAGCGAAUUGCGAUAAGUAAUGUGAAUUGCAGAUUUUCAGUGAAUCAUCGAAUCUUUGAACGCAUCUUGCGCUCCUUGGUAUUCCGAGGAGCAUGCCUGUUUGAGUGUCAUUAAAUUCUCAACCAUGUCUUGAUUGAUUUCAAGACCAUGGCUUGGAGGUUGGGGGUUGCUGGCGGCGAUCUGGCUGUUAGCUCUCCUGAAAUGCAUUAGCAAAAAGGGGUGUGAAUGUCUUUCGGCGUGCACGGCCUUCGACGUGAUAAUGAUCGUCGUGGCUGG
rnacentral:rRNA from 1 species